rnacentral:rRNA from 1 species
GCUUACGGCCACACCACCCUGGUUCACGCCCGAUCUCGUUUGAUCUCGGGAAGCUAAGAUAGGUUAGGCCUGGUUAGUACUUGGAUGGGAGACCGCCUAGGAAUACCAGGUGCUGUAAGGC